GGACUUUAGCUCAGUGGUAGAGCACUUGCCUAGUGUGUGUGAGGCCUGGGUUUGAUUCUCAGCACCA
rnacentral:tRNA from 1 species